AAAUGGACCAUGGCAGAGCCAGCAUUGUGGCUCCCAAUGAGCAGCCCCUAGGCUUCCCUGAUGUUCUGGCAGCAUUUUGUCACGUUUUGUCCAUCCUGAAACCUUCUAUCCUCAAGGCUCAGGCAACCUAUGCCAGCUGUCCAUGCAGGAGCAGCCCUUCCCUGCAGCCUGGACACUCCAGGCAGGGGUGGUACCCCAUGCACUGACAGCAGAUAUAGCACCUCAGGCAUCCCUAGCAUCCCUGGUCCUUGGCAUUUUUGGGGCAAGGGCUCAUCAAUCCUGUGAGAGCAUACCUGCCCUCACCUGGGUGAGGUAUGCCCAGUAAAUGUAAUUUACAGA